UGACCUAGAUUGAGUAACGUAAGUGACAGUGCAGUAAAAUUAUUGCCAAUUAGCUGGCAUGAAGUGAUGAUUUCUUGAACACUUUGAUUUUUAUGAACAGUUCUUAAUAUUGGUUUGGGUCUUUGAGCCUUAAAGUUGUUAUAAAUCGUGGCCAGAAAUACCGAACCGGAAGCCAUUUUGAUGUUAUUUUCGAGCUCGCGCGCUUGCCAAUCAACUGAUUGUUUUUUUCUGGUCUGUCAUUGGCUUAUUUUCCGAACGGCGCGUUUGUUUAUAAAAUGGCGAAAAGACGGAAGGUUGGCUUCUACGCUACAUUAAAUCAGUUAACGAGCCUUGAUUCAAGUCCUGUUGUUAUAUAAAGACAAGUUAAAGGGAAAGGAAAGCUCUGGGAAGUGGAAAGGCUGAUCACAUCACGCCAAAUUGCCAAAAAUAAGCCUCUAUUACUCGCCUCCAGUCUUACAUGAUGGCCUUUUAGUAUUGGAGCAGAUGGCCUUGUUUAGAGCUGCAGUAGAAGGGUUUAUUUUGUCAUAAUCUAGGUUGCCUGUUUCUUUUAAUUUCAGAGGGGAUUUUUUCAGGGGUCUUUUCAGAAUAUUUGAUAACAAAUGGCAUUUCAUUGAUAAUGGAAGAUUUCCCACAAUAAGUUUUUUUUCCAAUUGGUUGGGACAGAGUAGCUGAUCGUCAUGGACAAGGACUGAAAGUUUUUUUAUCCAAGGAAAGUCAAAUUCUUUGUUUCAUUUUCUCCAAAAAAAUCCUCUGAAGUGUCUAACCAACAAUUAUCUAGAGCUUUCCAGGAAAAAGUAAAAAUCUGUUAUGUAAAAAAUGCACUUAUUGAUGACGAACGGUGAGCAAUAGUCCACUACUUGGGUGAUACUAAACAGCAAAUAUCCACCCUGUAAUCACCUCACCAGGUAUAUAUGUUAAACUUAUGUUAUUUUGGAUGUAUUUCUCCUUUUAUUCUCUUCAAUAAUCAACAUACAACAUGACAGAUCAUAACACACAGCCCACGAGGCCAACAACUACCCAGAAUGCAACAUUGUAGGUUACGUCAUGAUAAAGACUGCUUAACAAUACAUUCUUCAUCUACCAUGACAAAGCCAUUCUCUUGUACUUCAUUAUCUCCCUUAGUGCAUCCUUGAAGCACUCUGCUAUUCGUUUCCUUGAUUCAGAUCCACUUACUACUGCUAUAGUAAGAUUUCCUGGUAUGAAAAAAUUGGACCAAUAAUUACAUAAGAAUUUAAACAAAUGAUUACAUACAAAUUUUAACAAAAAAAUGCAGCCUUUUGAUGACAAUAAAUCAUCUAUACUAUGAAGAAAGGAGAAGGACAAAAGAACAAAGUUGCUCAUGUGGCUAAUCCCUGCACCAUCACCACUUAUCUUCACUUGAACCCUUUCCCAGGCUUAACAAUGUUGGAGCUUUUCUAAAAAAAAUAAUUGAUCAUCUCUUUAGGAAAGGCAUAACAUUUUGUUAUAUAGAAAAGGCUAUAAAGUAAAAUGCUAGUAAAACUUAUAAUAAUCACCC